CUUUUACUUUGUCAUUCAUUGCUUAACUCACAAAACAGCAACACAAAAAUUUAUAAAAGUUUUAGACCUUUUCAAACAUAAAAAUUUAAAAUUCUUUUUAAUUCUAAACCGAUGCAAGUGCAACAUUCUCAAGUGUAUAUUAUAAGCAUAAGGGAUACUCAAUCCAUUAAGCAAUACAAAUUUCCGCAGUAUAAUUUUAAGAAACGAACAAAUAGAUUUUAAACUGGAUCACUCGCACUCUAUAUUUCAUUAUCUGACAAUUCUUAUCAAAUUUAUCGGUUUACGAGCAUCAGGAUGCGUCGCAACGAAAUCGUCGCCAAAAGGCG